GGCCCGGGGCUCCUUGGCCCCCCGUCCCAGCCCGGUGGAAGUGGGGACCCCUCCUGCUGUCUUUCAGUCCUUGCGGGUCCGCAGGCUUCUCCGCCCCUUCUUCUUGAUGCAGAACUCCUCCAUGAUGAAGAAGACGCUCAAGUGCAUCAGGUCAUCACUGCCGGAAAUGGCCAGCGUCGUACUGCUGCUGGCGCUGCACCUGUGCGUCUUCACCAUGUUGGGGAUGCUGCUCUUCACAGGCGAGAAGACCGCCUUCCGUGGCCGGUGUCCCCAGGGCUGUGCGGCCUCCCUGGACGCCGGCUCCCGGGCCCAGAGGUCCUGAGUCGGUCCUGUCUGUCCGCGAGCGCAGAGUCCGCUGGGAAGCGA